GAGGGAGAGAUACAUGGGGAAGAGGGGCAAGGCGGCGGCGAGGGAGCGCCGGGAGGAGCGGCGGCGGGAGGUCACGCUCCUCCGCGCCGUACCCUACGAGCCCCACCAGCGGUGGUGGGACGACCUCGCGCCGGCGCGCGCCGUGGCGGUGGUCACGGGGGCCAGCCACGGCAUCGGCUACGAGAUCUCCCGCCAGCUCGCGCGCCACGGCCUCCACGUCGUCCUCGCCUCGCGCGACGCCGCGCGAGGCAGGGACGCCGCAGAGAGGAUCCUCCGCGAGGAGGGCACGAGCGCGGAGUGGCGGCAGCUCGACGUGGCGGACGCCGCGUCGGUGGAGGCCUUCGCCGCCUGGACGGCGCGGACCCACGGCGGCAUCCAUGUCCUUAUUAACAAUGCAGGUGUAAACUUCAACAGAGGAGCAGAUAACUCUGUUGAAUUUGCAGAGCAAGUAAUUGAGACAAAUUAUUUUGGUACAAAGCGGAUGAUUGAAGCCAUGCUACCAUUACUGAAACCUUCUCCGUAUGGUGCCCGGAUAGUGAAUGUGAGCUCAAGGCUUGGUAGGGCCAAUGGCAGGCGCAAUAAAAUCGGCGAUGCGAUCCUAAGAGAGCAACUAUUAACUGAUGAUUGCUUAUCUGAGGAAUUGAUUGAUGGGAUGGUCACUAAAUUCCUUGAACAAGUGAAGCAAAAUAGUUGGUCCUCCAUUGAGUGGCCUCAGAUGUACACGGACUAUUCUAUCUCAAAGCUUGCUGUUAAUGUGUAUACAAGACUCAUGGCUAAGAGGCUUGCUGACAGGUCUGAAGGCCAAAAGAUUUACAUUAACUGUUUCUGUCCUGGCUGGGUAAAGACUGCCAUGACUGAUUGGGAAGGGAACAUUUCAGCCGAAGAAGGUGCUGAUACUGGAGUGUGGCUUGCUCUGUUACCCCAGGCACAAGCAACAAUUGGAAAGUUCUAUGCUGAGAGGCGCGAGAUAAGCUUCUGAGGUGACUAGUCUUGUCCAUACUUUUGCUCCAGCUAGAGAGCUACAAGUUGAAAUUUUCCAUAGUUUUGCCCCCAGCUAUAAGUAGAGAAAAGCCAUGACCCAAGGUCAUUGCUAUAUGGCUGGAAUGGUGGAUCUGCCAGUGGCCUGUUAAUGAAGAACAAUCCAGAUGAUUGAGUGACUCUAGGUGGCCAAAGAGCAUCUGAGUCUUCACAUUAAUAGAAGGCUCAUUCUCUAAAAAUUU